rnacentral:tRNA from 1 species
GAUAAAAUGCCUGAUUAAAGGAUUAUCUUGAUAGGAUAAAUCAUGUAGAAUUACUUUUAUUA